UGCCUGGGGUUGGGGGUGUUGGUCCCUGGGGGCUGACCCUUUCACCUGCCUGCUCUCUGUCCCUGCAGCACUGCUGGAAAGGAAGGAGGAAGAUGGACAGGGGGUGGCCACUCUGGGUGCCAAGCUCUUCGUGCCAGCCUGGCAGGGCUGCAUGCCCUUGGCCUGCUGCAGCAGCGGGGCCGGCUCUGGACCAACUCCCUGAGGAUCCAGUACAGCCUCCUGGGUGGCCCACCAGAUGCUGUCCUGGGCUGAGGCCACGUUCUCACGGGCACUGAAGAGGCUCUGCAAACCCCUGCUGGACCUGUAUGACCUUGUAACCAGAUUAUGAGGCCUGGCCCAGCAAUGCAGCCAAGGGCAGUGCUGGGAUGACCGACUCUGGGCUCCUGGGGAGCUUGCAUGUGGCUCAGAUGAGUCUGCUUACCUCUGUGGACUCAGCUUCCUCUACUGUGAAAUGCAGGUAACCACAUGGCUCACUCAUAUGGGUAAGGGGCGUGUACAGUUCUUAAUGCACAAGGGAGCCCCUCAUGUCCAUGGAGGAGCCAUGGUACCCAGGCUUGGCAAGGAGCAGUUUAUCUGUGUGGAGCUCACACAGAGGCCUAGGGCUCCCUAGAAGCGUGGGUGUAGUCAGGUCUAAGCAGCACGCUGAUCUUGUA